UACAAUAAGUUUAAAAAUAAUAAAUGCUGUGUGUUAAAUAAAUUAUUAGAAAGAACGUAUACUUCAGCUAUUGAUUAUUGUCUAAAAAUUAUCAGAUUAUUUAAUUGAUCUUUCUGUUAAUGGCAAAUUAAUUUUCUAACAAAAAGACCAUCAAAUAGCAUCAUUUCUUCAACAUACAAUCAAGUAGUUACGGUAACAAAAUUUAAAUUAAAGAAAGAAAAAUCGAUUCUCGAUUCUUAGGAUAAAAAAUGGAAUAGUAAAGAUUCGAUUUAAAAAAGCGAUCUUAUAACCACAAGAAUCGAAUCGAACGUCCCUGAAAGUUAUCACACACAAAAUUCCAUAAAGACGUAAGACAUAAAUGUAAGAAAACCCAAUCGAGUAUUGAACUCAUCGUAAUUUUCACUUUAGUCCAUAAAACUUAAAACGUAAAAUCAAAAAAUUCUGUAAGGAUGAAAUUUUUACGAUUUACGUCUUCUAGACAAGCAAUCACAAGUCAUGAGAGCUAAGCGCUUUACUUUGAAAUUUAAUAUCAAAGUAAUUUAGAAAGCUAAGAGAGCUAGAAAGCUAAUGAGUAUUAUAUGUUAAUGAGUGUUAUAUGUUAAGAUAUAUUAUAUUUUAUUUAAUAUUAAGAUAUAUUAUAUGUUAUAUAAUAUAUAUAUAAUAUAUAUAUAUUAUAUAUAUAGAUAUAUUAUAUGUUCACGGUAUUUGUUUUAGAAAUAUCAGUAAAUAUAAUGUAAUAUGUUCAAUAACUUUGAAAAUAAACUUUAAUUAAGAAAAAAAACCUUAAUUUAAUAUAAUACAUUUUGCGGCAUGAAAUACUUUUGUUAAUAUUUAGAAAGUGUGUGUGGCUACCCUGGCAUGUAGCAUAGGCUGAUUACUUUUAAUUAAACAUAUUGACAAGUGUUCGUUGAAAAUUAUGAAAUUUUCUGAAUUUUACUAUAAUGUAAAUUUUAAUAUAACAAAACAAAGAGCAACCAAUGUAUUAGUGUCUUUCGAGAACGAUAAAGGUUAAUAAAUCAUCGAAAAAACUUCCAAAAAGUAAAUUGAAAAGAAAAAAACAUUGGAAGCAUGCGUUGAGCAAUAUAACCUUCCAGUUAUAUCAAAUAUUUGUGGAUCAAGUACAUAUAAUCUAGUUGUAUUAUUCACUAGCAUGGAUGAUUCACAAGAUUCGGAGGUAUAAGUAAGGAUUUAUUUACUGGCUUGGAUCAACCAAAUAAAUAUAAUUUUUUUAUAAAGAUGGGUAAAUUGUGCUAUCUGUCUAAUAGAAAAGCAUCAAAAACUGAAAAUAUUUCAUUACACAGGUAAAAGAGUUCAUAUGAAAUAUUUAUAUUAUUUUAUAAAUUUCUUAUAAUAAAUAACCGAAAAUAAUGUAUAAUCAAUUUUGGUUUUCCACAAGAUUUGACUUAUAUCAAAUGUGGUUAAAUGUUCAUGAAUUUAUCUUAAACGAUGAUGUAUCAUCUAUUUAUAUCUAUUCUAUCCAUUUUAUUGAAAUGGAUAUUAAUAGAUAUAAUACUUUUGGAAAAAAUUAAUCUGUAAUUAAACCUGGAAUAGUUCCUUCAAUGUUUAUAGCAAAUUAUUUUAUUAUAAAAGAAGAAGUUGAUGAUUUGUCAUCAAAAAAACUUGCAAAUGUGAUUAUAAAUGAUAAUUUUGGUGGAUAUGAAUAUAUUUUGUUGAAUAAUGAAAAUAAAGUUGAAGAGAAAAUCCAAGAGUAUAGAGUACAAAAGAAUGCGAUGGAAACUAAACAUUCUUCAAAAAAUUAAAAGUAGCAGCAAAAAGAUUUUGAAAGCUGCUAUCAUUCAACAAAAUGAUUCAACAACAUAUAAAUCUCCAACUAGUAUUUUAUUGAGUUGAGAUGUGUGUGUAGUAAAUUGUAAAUUAUUAUUUUAACCCGACAAAAUUUGGAAUUGUUUAGAAUUAUCAAGAUUUAUAUAUAAUAAUUAGAGCGUUCAUUAAGUCGACAUGUGUGAACAUAAUUCGUUUCUAUCUUAUAGUCAUGAACAUUGUCAUAGUAAUGCUCAUAAAGAGUUUAUUUUCAUAAACUCCUGUGGCUUUCAUAGAGAAUAAAGGUAGAGGAAGAAAGGUAUAAUAAAUAGAAGUACAAUUUACUAAAAUACAUUCUAAUUUGUUCCAUAAAAGUCACAGGUUCUAUUGAGAGAAAUUUUUAUAAAUCGAAAGAUCUAGUUUAAAAAAAAAAAAAAAACAUUUUUUAUUGAAUCGUAAUGUUCUAUGCAUUCGUUAACUUUUCACAUGUAUUCGCUAAUGAGAUAUUUCAUUAAAAUUCAUGGUUCAUUAUUAUGCACAUUGGACUUCUUAAAGAAACUUUUUAUGUGUACUAAUCAUAAUAGCAAGAUAAAAAAAAAACGAAUUAUUAAUUUUAACACAUAUUAUUGAUUCUACUAAAAUAAUUUUAAUUUUUUUAAACAUAAUUUAACAUUAUAUAUGAAUUUAUAUAUUCUGUUAUGUAAGUAUAAUGUACGAUUUAUAUUUGAUAUAACUUGCUAUUUUUAUAAUAAAUCUAGGAACUAUAAAACAAAUAUAUACGCAUGUGAUGAUGUGUUUAUGAUAAAUUAUAAAAUAAGAAAAAACAAAUUUACUUCUUUUUCUCUCAAUUUUUCUAAUAGCAACAACAAUACAGUUAUAUGCAACAAUGUAUAACAGUUUUUCAAUCGUUUGAUAAUGAUGUAACGUAUAUUAAAAUCUGUAUUUCAUAGAAAUUAUGAAUACUAGAAUGCCCAUUAUUUUACAAUAAUGUUAAAAACAACAUAAAAGCUGUUCAGUAAGACUAGAUUGGUUUAAUGCAUGAUGCUAUUUUAGCAAUAUAUACUACAGUUUAUAUGAUUGUGAAGUCCAACUUCUUCUUUUUACCUAUUAAUGAUGCACUACAUAUAGCUACAUAACUUGCAUAAUUUCAUAUCGAUAAAGCUUGUACUUAAUGAUACCUGAAUUAAUUUUAUACAUAAUUAUAACAACUCUGAUUAUUGAAAGAUUGAUGAGCAUUUGGCAUAUAAUGAGCGUAAAUUAAAUCUAUAAUUAAAAAACUGCAAUUCAGUAA